rnacentral:rRNA from 1 species
CCCUUAGAUGUUCUGGGCCGCACGCGCGCUACACUGACGAAGUCAGCGAGCAUGUCCUACGCCGACAGGUGCGGGGAAUCUUGUCAAACUUCGUCGUGAUGGGGAUUGAUUAUUGAAAUUCUUGAUCAUCAACGCGGAAUUCCUAGUAAGCGCAAGUCAGCAGCUUGCGUUGAUUACGUCCCUGCCCUUUGUACACACCGCCCGUCGCUACUACCGAUUGAAUGGUUUAGUGAGAUCUUCGGAUUGGCGCCACUGCGGCUCAGCAAUGGGCUCGGUGGAUGCCGAAAAGUUGAUCAAACUUGAUCAUUUAGAGGAAGUAAAAGUCGUAACA